AUCUCCUUAGCUCAACCGGUAGAGCUCAGACACCCACCAUACUACGCUCUGUGAUGUUGGUUCGAAUCCAGCUGGAGGUA